rnacentral:lncRNA from 10 species
AGAAAGAUAAAUCUUCAUCUUCCAUCACAGUGAGAAAGUGGAGUUCGAAGAUGUCAUCAGCCCAGGUCACACAGAUGGUGGAGACCAGUGUGGAGCCCGGGAGUGGGCUGAGCAGAGCAUCUGGACUUUGAGCUUCCAUCAGACCCUGAGAUAGUCACCUGUCCUGGCUGCCUGGUGACCCUGGUGUGCUAACGUGGCACUUAUCUUGCUCUAUGGAGGCCCCUGGGCCCCCUAAACACCAGAACCCAGUUGCUGUGCUAAAAAGAACUCACAGACCACGUGGAGUGGAGCAGAUGGGUCAGUGUCCCAGGUGGCAGCCCGUGUCGGCCUCAGACCUGCACGUGAGGAUGCCCACCAGAGGGUUCCUGCCACCACCGUCAAGUCACCCCAGCCUUAAUCUUCCAGCCGGCGCCUCAGGCAUUAUGGGCAGAGGUAAACUGUCUCCAUGAUGCCCUUUCCAAAUUUCUGACCCACAGAAUCCAUGGCUAUAAUAAAAUGGCUGUCUUAUGUGCUCAAUUUUGGGGUGGUUUGUAGCAUAGCAGUAUAACUAGAACAUCUAGCUCGUGAGAGAACCAGCAAAGAAAGCAAAAAUCACCCCAGCCUAUAAAGGGCCCUGAGGGUGGUGGGACCCAUGGGUGACAGGAAACCAAUCCCUGCACCCCAAGAGGUGGCAGGGCCUCCAAC